UACGGAGGGAGCUAGCGUUGUUCGGAAUUACUGGGCGUAAAGCGUACGUAGGCGGCUUUGUAAGUUAGAGGUGAAAGCCCGGUGCUCAACACCGGAACUGCCUUUAAGACUGCAUCGCUAGAAUCCGGGAGAGGUGAGUGGAAUUCCGAGUGUAGAGGUGAAAUUCGUAGAUAUUCGGAAGAACACCAGUGGCGAAGGCGGCUCACUGGACCGGUAUUGACGCUGAGGUGCGAAAGCGUGGGGAGCAAACAGG
rnacentral:rRNA from 1 species